GAAAAAUUGUGUUGUAUCUCUUUCCUCUCCACGUCUCCCCCUCUCUCUCUAUAAUAUUUCAGCAAAUUGCUCCCCUCCGUUCGGCAGCCGUGUCACCAUCACAAAUUUUCCGGUGACUUUGCCGUGCCAUCCAACCUAAGCCAUGCCAUCCAACCUAGCCCAACUUGUAUCAAUUUUCAGAUUAUGAGUUUCAAGCUCAACAACCUCAGAAUUGUUGAGAAAUCGAGGCAAACCAGUUCCAUGUUCAAAUAGCAAAGGAAUUGACAAGGUCUUGGAGGAAAUGAAAAAGUAAUUGGAGUUUUGUUGACAUGCACGUGUAGCGUUAGUUGCCGAGCCAGAAAUUUUAAGAUUUAUUUGGUGGAGAAUAUGAUUUGCUCGACAGAUAGCUAAUAUACUAACGUUGAAGAGUAUAGUGGUAAGAGAUCUCGCUAGAUGACAGCUGCACGUGUCGAGUCACUGUCUCUUUUGUCGAGAAAGUUAAAGUGGUGUGUACCUGGCAUGUUUAGUUGAGGAUUUGUAGAUAAGUAUAGUUGUUAGUUUUCUUUGUUGUAGUGGGUUGCUAAUUAUGUAAAAGUGGGUGUCUGGUUAUAUGUCCAAAAAAAAAGUACACAGUAGAAAGAUUUAUUCGUAAUAAGAAGUUAAGCGUAUCGAAAUGUGACACCAAUUAUUCGGUUUAAUAAAUCGACUAAGGGGUGUUACAAAAAUUGACCA